rnacentral:lncRNA from 1 species
GGCCGAUCCAUUUGACCCUCCAGGGGAAGGCGAGGCCCAAUCCGAAAGUGACUCCGAUGCAAUCAAUGUAGCAACCUAUGGUAACCCGACCAUGACCAACUUGUCCCCAGUCCCCACGGGGAUUGCGAUAAGUUAAGAGUAGGAGGCUCCAAUUGGGCACUCCUCGUCCUCUUGGAUGAGGACUCUCUGUCUGAGGAGCUCUUCUUCUUCUUCACCACUAACUUGAUGGAUAACAACAACAGCUUCAUUACUUUAGGACAGAAAAAAAAAAUUUUCUCCGAUGACUAUAAUGACGUAAGAGCAACUGGCAAUUAGACGAUAGAAAAUCUUACCGAAUAGAUGGUCUAUUUAUAUAAAUCACCGACGAUAUGGAUUUGGCCAUCACAUCGCCCAAUCAUGCCACUUGGCCAACCUUGAAAAUGACGGAUCUCGUGAC